rnacentral:lncRNA from 1 species
GUGCACGAGAGGUAGCCACAGAUAAGAGCUACCAACUCUGUGGAGAGCAAAGGAAGGGAUGGAGCUGGCUGCUCACUGCAGUACAUUGUCCAAAUGUUGCUGUGCCUUUGCAGACUGGCAUUAUAGACAGAUCGUGCUGCUUCAGAUGCUGUCUGGAAAAUUGAUACAGCCUUUUAAAUCACCUGAAUGCUUUGCCAUCACUAUUUGCUGAGCAGCAUAACUCCAGGCAUAAUAUGCUUAUGGGGGUAUUUUAAUUCAGCAGGCUGAUCCUGCCAUCUCACGGUGGUGGCUGGGGAGAGCACUAAGCCUCCCCUGUUGUACUGCGGGCUGGGGCUAGGCCAGACGUACAUGUAUGUUUGGGCCUACGCCCAGGUCCACAGCCCACAGCAAGGCAGCGGGGCUAUCCACGGGUCCAGGCCAAGGCUGAAAGCCGCCUCGAGGCCUGGGCGGCUUAGACAGUGGUGUCCCUGCUUGCUUCAUCAUUACCACCGCUUGCAGCUGUGGGCCAGGGCCGUGGGCUGAGCCACCACUGUUGAGCAGGUGCUUCAGAUGAGGGCCCAGCCACCUGUGAGUGCUCUGCUGAGCUGAUGAGCCCUCAAGGGUUUGGCACACGGACGCAUGGGGCUUGUUUACCUCAGCAGCAGCACACCAGACUCCUGCUUGCAUAGCCCACUACUAAGUGCAGUGGCAGAGGAGAAAGCUGUUCUGCAGCUGGGUGAGCCCAGAAUGGCCUGCUUUGUUUACGCCUCAUCCCUGUCUUUUCAGGUUUCUAAAUUGGACUCAUCUGCCAGAUAUGGAAAGAGAAGCACUCCAGUGGACUUAAACAACACAUAUUUCUUCUCUGUGCUAGCUUAGAAGGUGUAAUUAAGAAUUUUCUGACACUUCUUGCCUGAAGUGGAAAUGCCAGUGGUUUGAUAUCUUCGUUGUCAGAUGCUGCUAUGACCAAUGUGAAGGUGGAGAAGGUGUGUGAAUUACUAGAAACACUGUUGACAUAACCAUUGGAUGGACAGACUUUUCCAUGUAAAAAUAACUUUGGAUAGAAAUUAAUAGAGAUUUUGUUCUGUGGGUGUACUGUUCCCCCUGUAUUUAUGUUUAAUUAAGGGUAAAUUUUCAUUGUUGAAUAAGAUGUGGUAAGGUUAGGAAAAAAAAAAGUGAAGAUAAGAUCUGGCUAAAUUUUUCAUAAACAUUUUCUGUAUGUGUACUAUGACAAAACUUAUCUUUGUCAUGGGUAUCAAGGACUGUGAGUGAUAAUAAAUAGAUUAUGGAAAUUUAUUUUAAAAUUAUU